rnacentral:lncRNA from 1 species
UGUAAGGGCUGAAAUCUGUUUUCAGGCAGUCCAUGCUUCUCCAGGAGACGCUUUAUGUCUAUUAUCCCGUUCAACUGCCUCUGGCUGUUUGUCCCAAAGGGCACCGUGUUCUCUAUAUAGUGUGAUACGUUUCACCAGGGUUCAUAGAGCUCUGGUCAGAAGUAGUGUACUAUAUAGGGUAUAGUGUGCACUUUGGGACAUACCCUCUUACUUAUGUCCAACCCUAACCCCUUACACCCUAGGUUGAAACCCUAACCCCUACACCCUAGGUUGAACCCUAAUCCCUACACCCUAGGUUGAACCCUACACUCUAGGUUGAAACCCUAACCCCCUACACUCUAGGUUGAAACCCUAACCCCCUACACUCUAGGUUGAAACCCUAACCCCCUACACUCUAGGUUGAAUCCUAACCCCCUACACUCUAGGUUGAAUCCUAACCCCCUACACUCUAGGUUGAAUCCUAACCCCCUACACUCUAGGUUGAAUCCCCUCUACACUCUAGGUUGAAACCCUAACCCCCUACACUCUAGGUUGAAACCCCUAACCCCCUACACUCUAGGUUGAAUCCCUAACCCCCUACACUCUAGGUUGAAACCCUAACCCCCUACACUCUAGGUUGAAACCCUAACCCCCUACACCCUAGGUUGAAUCCUAACCCCCUACACUCUAGGUUGAAACCCUAACCCCCUACACUCUAGGUUGAAUCCUAACCCCCUACACUCUAGGUUGAAACCCUAACCCCCUACACUCUAGGUUGAAACCCUAACCCCCUACACCCUAGGUUGAAUCCCCUCUACACCCUAGGUUGAAUCCUAACCCCCUACACUCUAGGUUGAAACCCUAACCCCCUACACUCUAGGUUGAAUCCUAACCCCCUACACUCUAGGUUGAAUCCCCUCUACACUCUAGGUUGAAACCCUAACCCCCUACACUCUAGGUUGAAACCCUAACCCCCUACACUCUAGGUUGAAACCCUAACCCCCUACACUCUAGGUUGAAACCCUAACCCCCUACACUCUAGGUUGAAUCCCCUCUACACCCUAGUUUUGGAGUGGGGACUAGGGAUUGGUUUGGAAUUUGAAAACUGUCUGUCGAUCAUUAAUGUACUGCAACUCUCCCCAACUUCUCCCCUCAGACACCCAGGGCCUGUAUCUGUUUCAGAUCAAAGCUGCCCCAUAGCAGAGCACAGAUCUGGGAUCAGUUUACCCCUAACUUCUCCUCUCUGUCCCAGGGCCUGUAUCUGUUUCAGAUCAAAGCUGCCCCAUAGCAGAGCACAGAUCUGGGAUCAGCUUACCCCUAACUUCUCCUCUCUGUCCCAGGGCCUGUAUCUGUUUCAGAUCAAAGCUGCCCCAUAGCAGAGCACAGAUCUGGGAUCAGUUUACCCCUAACCCUGUGUUGUGUCUCAAGUGACACCCUAUUCCCUAUAUAGUGCACUACUUUUCACCAGGUUUCAUAGGCUAAAUAGGGAAUAAGGUGUCACUCUCUGGAGAGGAAACUGUCUUAGGAUCUGUUUUUUACUCCAAGGUUCCUGGACUGUGUGUAUUCUAUGUACUACAUUGUAUUUCUACAAUGAACUGAUCUACGGUGCGUGGAUCUAUGUAAACAGCCAAAGAAAAUCCAUAACCUGUCUGUGUUGCGAUGUCUGUCUGUCUCUGGGCACUGUCUGUACAUCUGUCAAAUCCGUCUGUCUGUACAGUUAGUCCUGUUGUGAAAUGUAUUGUUUUAUUGCGUAUCUGUCUGUAUGGCAGAAAUUCACUUGGUUAUCCCUAUUUCCCCC